rnacentral:rRNA from 1 species
UACGUAGGGUGCGAGCGUUAAUCGGAAUUACUGGGCGUAAAGUGUGCGCAGGCGGCAGAGCAAGUCGAGUGUGAAAGCCCCGGGCUUAACUUGGGAAUUGCGCUCGAAAACUACUUUGCUGGAGUGUGGCAGAGGAAGGUGGAAUUCACGUGUAGCGGUGAAAUGCGUAGAGAUGUGGAGGAACACCAAUGGCGAAGGCAGCCU